UUUUGAGUAAUACUUUAUGAAUCCAGCUACUUAAAAAUGCUAUUUCAUCAUAAGAACUCUGGAGCACCUGUUCAAUGUGGUAUAAUAGAAACUCAAACUGGAUGUUCUUUCAUGUUUGACUUUUCUUCUGAACCAUUGGAUGGCUCUACUUCAUUGGCUGCUAACUAGUGCAUACUCCACAUUUUCUUUCUGCAACCACAAGAAGAAACUUCUUAAUACACUUACCUUCCUCAUUCAUACUUGGUAACAUCCAUAUCUGACAUAACUUGAAACUCAGCUUUGUGAGUAAUAUAUUUGUGCUGUAAAAGCUGAAGAGUACUAGAGGAGGAAGAGGGUGUGAUUGAGUGAGUGUGGGGAAAAGAAUGUGCUCAGAAACAUGUAAGGCAAUGUGUGGAGCCAACCUGACAGGAGGUAUACAGGGUUGUCCAGGGAAUGGGUGACUCUUCCUGGGUGUGCUGAAGGGGCAAUGCAUUUUUAUUAAGGGCAGAGAGAUACACAGCUGAAUGCUUGCUUUUCAAGAAUGCUCUGUUUCCCAGCUCCUUUUCUGCUCUUCCUUUCUUCCCUUUAUGCCUAUUUCUACAGUGAUAAGGUUAUCUUGGCAGCAAGGAAGUUGUGUGAGCAUAACCAUUCCUAAUAGAAGGGCAGUUAUGACUCUUCUGCUAUGUGGAAGGGCUGGUCUGCUCAAAGAUUGCUUCACCUUUUAUUGUAGUUGACUGUAAUCCAACAGAAAGCAGUAAUAACAAUAACAACAAAACCACAAAAACAAAAAACCCAAACUAAAAGCCAAGAAGAUGCUAAUUGAUUUAGAUGUCUAGUAUUUUAUUUGCAUUUUGUUUACAUUUCACUUUUUUUGAGGCUUCCAUUGCUCUUCAGUUUCAAACAGCUUUACUGAAUAGCCUGAAUGAGCUUGUAAAAGAUGUACAAGUGUUUUUCCUUCACACAGGUUCUAAGUCUUGAAACAUAUUCUCUUGAAAUAUAAUAUUAUGUCUGAGUUAUUCCACUGUAGAAAAACAUACAGGAUGAGAUAGGAUAAUCUGUGGAAACGCCUUUCCUGGGAUGGAUGAUCAGAGUUAAUGGUGUCCAUUGCCCUUUAGGAGAUCUUCCAAGACAUUUGGUGGGUGCUGUAAAGGCAUUGCAGAGCAUGGGAGGCUGAAUUCUGACUGAAAAAGGCAGAAGUGAUCAAAUGGUUGUUUUCUUUCUCCUGUGCCUCAUUUUGGUGAGCUGUAUGCCUUAGUAUAAAUCUGUUGUGUUAAUUCUUCCCACUAAGAAUUUUAGCCAAGCUGAUUAUUGAUUGUGUGUGCAGUCCAGAGAUGGGAAGUAUGAUCUCAUCUCCUAUUGUAUCUCUUGGUGACUGUCUGUAAUUUGGUGACAAUGCUGUACUUGCUCUUUACUGGUGUUAGAUAUAAUAUUUAUCUGAUAGUAUGUGCUAAUUAUAUUUGUGGUAGUAUGUGGAGUAGUAUUUUCAGUAUGCAUUUUUAAGGGAGUAGAAGACUCCUAAGAGAGAUUAAAUGGAUGUAGGUAGUAAUACUGUGGAUUUUGUGUCUUGUCAUGCAUAAAAGCCUUCAAUAUUCUUUUCCCCUCCUCACCUCCUACUAAAAAAAAAUCAGUCCUGUAUUUUCUGUAUUUUUCAUUUUCAUAAUUGAAAACCUGCAGGAUUUGGCCCAUGGCGGUUUUCCCACAUGUUGCACUGUUUUAUACUACUCAAAUGAUCUCUAUAUCCGUAUUUCUGAACAAUUUUCACUUAGUAAGGUAAAUGUGGAUGUCUUAUAAAAGUUCAAGCAAAAUUAAAUUUUACAUUCUCAACAUUCUCACAUCUGUCUUGGAUACUAUGUUUUGCCAAAUGGAUAUGGAAGUAGAAACUUGGGAUAACUGAAAUAAAGUCUGAGCAUUUGAUGUAAAAAUAAUUAAUUUCCUGUAAUUAAAAAAAAAAUUCUCACAUGGGCAGACAGUUCUAGAAUUUGUCACGUUAGGGUUUCUUAUAACAUCCUUUGAAGGAUUUUCUUUUUUACAAGUGCUUCUGGAAACAACUGGAUCACUGGCUUAUCUAACAGCAUUAUUUCUAUGACUUUAAUGGCAAUCUUGUGCAGAAAUGAGCAUCAAAAUGACUUAAGUAGUAACUUAUAUGACUCAUCAAGAGUCACGUAAGUAGACUCAGAUUAGCUGCGAUACUGAUUUUAUGAAGAAGGAAUAUUUUCAAACGGUAAUCUAGGCCAGACUGGCCUCUGUAAAUACUAGAGAACUAUUUUGCAAGAGUAAAGUAAAGCUAGUAAUUCUUACUUUGUUUUGAAAUAGUAUACAAAAAUUUUAAACUUUCCUUUAAAAAGUCUUCCUCUUCCUGCAGUGUAAACAUUUCAAAUUGCCCUCUUUGUGAAACUGAAAUAGUUGCAAAUUAGCUUGUGGGGUUUUGUUUUGUUUGUUUUGUUUUCUUGUUUUUGCUCCUCAGCUCUUUUCAAGAACACAAUGGUUGUUGUUUGAGAACAUGCAAGCAGUGAGUUCUGGACUGAACUGAAACUGAAGUGGAAUGAUAGAAAGAAUUUCUGAGAACUAAAACAACAAGAAUGAGCAUCAAAAAAAAGGAUGGAAAUGAAAGGGAAAGGCAGUUCCCAGCUUGAGCUAAAAACCUGACCAUUGUAUGCUGAUGUUAAAUGCAUCAGAAGAUUGUUUGGAAACAGGAAAUUCAGAGGACUGUAUAACAGCGUCAGCGUAGCAGACCUCCUGUGUAAAUUUCAACCUAUUGGUCAGUGGCUGCUUAAUGCCAUCACUGCCUGAUGCUGAAGGUCUGAUGUCAUGUUCCAAGUGACUCAUGCAGUCAGCAGUGCAGACUGAGGAAAUAGGAGGGUGAAUUUGGGAAGUGAAGUUGACAGGAAGCUGACACUGUGCUGAUAAAGGAAAGCAAGGAUCAAAUGAAGAAGAUCUGAUCUCUGAUUCUGUCCUGCUUUUCCCUUGAUGAGAGGAAAGUAGUCAAAACUACCUAACCAGAGGAACAGUGUUUUGUUAUCUCUUUUAAUCUGGACAUGUGAAUUACUCUAACUCAAUCCACAAAAGAGAGCAAAGGUAUAGUGCUUGAUAUAAAAUGACCAACAGUGACUCCUAUACAUGUCAUACCAAUGUGAUCAUUUCUCUGUGUUUGCUGAUUCAUACAAUGCUACUCAACAGCACAGAGAUUUCAUACAGUACCCCAGCUGUGUUAGCCAACUUUGCAGCAGUUUGCCAGCUCAACCUACUGAAUUCCCAUGCUAAUAAACAGGGUUUGGCUGCAAAU